rnacentral:rRNA from 1 species
GCCUAACACAUGCAAGUCGAGCGGCAGCACAGAGGAACUUGUUCCUUGGGUGGCGAGCGGCGGACGGGUGAGUAAUGCCUGGGAAAUUGCCCUGAUGUGGGGGAUAACCAUUGGAAACGAUGGCUAAUACCGCAUGAUGCCUACGGGCCAAAGAGGGGGACCUUCGGGCCUCUCGCGUCAGGAUAUGCCCAGGUGGGAUUAGCUAGUUGGUGAGGUAAUGGCUCACCAAGGCGACGAUCCCUAGCUGGUCUGAGAGGAUGAUCAGCCACACUGGAACUGAGACACGGUCCAGACUCCUACGGGAGGCAGCAGUGGGGAAUAUUGCACAAUGGGCGCAAGCCUGAUGCAGCCAUGCCGCGUGUAUGAAGAAGGCCUUCGGGUUGUAAAGUACUUUCAGUCGUGAGGAAGGUUGUAGUGUGAAUAGCACUAUGAUUUGACGUUAGCGACAGAAGAAGCACCGGCUAACUCCGUGCCAGCAGCCGCGGUAAUACGGAGGGUGCGAGCGUUAAUCGGAAUUACUGGGCGUAAAGCGCAUGCAGGUGGUUUGUUAAGUCAGAUGUGAAAGCCCUGGGCUCAACCUAGGAGUUGCAUUUGAAACUGACAAGCUAGAGUACUGUAGAGGGGGGUAGA